rnacentral:rRNA from 1 species
UGGGCCACAAGCCUGAUCCAGCAAUUCUGUGUGCACGAUGAAGGUCUUCGGAUUGUAAAGUGCUUUCAGUUGGGAAGAAGAAAGUGACGGUACCAACAGAAGAAGCGACGGCUAAAUACGUGCCAGCAGCCGCGGUAAUACGUAUGUCGCAAGCGUUAUCCGGAUUUAUUGGGCGUAAAGCGCGUCUAGGCGGAAAAAUAAGUCUGAUGUUAAAAUGCGGGGCUCAACUCCGUAUUGCGUUGGAAACUGUUUUUCUAGAGUACUGGAGAGGUGGGCGGAACUACAAGUGUAGAGGUGAAAUUCGUAGAUAUUUGUAGGAAUGCCGAUGGAGAAGUCAGCUCACUGGACAGAUACUGACGCUGAAGCGCGAAAGCGUGGGGAGCAAACAGGAUUAGAUACCCUGGUAGUCCACGCCGUAAACGAUGAUCACUAGGUGUUGGGGGUCGAACCUCAGCGCCCAAGCUAACGCGAUAAGUGAUCCGCCUGGGGGAGUACGCACGCAAGUGUGAAACUCAAAGG